UCCUACGGGGCGCAGCAGUGAGGAAUAUUGGUCAAUGGCCGCAGGGCUGAACCAGCCAAGUCGCGUGAGGGAUGACGGUCCUAUGGAUUGUAAACCUCUUUUGUCAGGGAGCAAAGGGCGCCACGUGUGGCGUUUUGCGAGUACCUGAAGAAAAAGCAUCGGCUAACUCCGUGCCAGCAGCCGCGGUAAUACGGAGGAUGCGAGCGUUAUCCGGAUUUAUUGGGUUUAAAGGGUGCGCAGGCGGAAUGUCAAGUCAGCGGUAAAAUUUCGGGGCUCAACCCCGUCGAGCCGUUGAAACUGGCGGU
rnacentral:rRNA from 1 species